GAUGAACGCUGGCGGCGUGCCUAAUACAUGCAAGUCGAGCGAACGGACGAGAAGCUUGCUUCUCUGAUGUUAGCGGCGGACGGGUGAGUAACACGUGGAUAACCUACCUAUAAGACUGGGAUAACUUCGGGAAACCGGAGCUAAUACCGGAUAAUAUUUUGAACCGCAUGGUUCAAAAGUGAAAGACGGUCUUGCUGUCACUUAUAGAUGGAUCCGCGCUGCAUUAGCUAGUUGGUAAGGUAACGGCUUACCAAGGCAACGAUGCAUAGCCGACCUGAGAGGGUGAUCGGCCACACUGGAACUGAGACACGUUCCAGACUCCUACGGGAGGCAGCAGUAGGGAAUCUUCCGCAAUGGGCGAAAGCCUGACGGAGCAACGCCGCGUGAGUGAUGAAGGUCUUCGGAUCGUAAAACUCUGUUAUUAGGGAAGAACAUAUGUGUAAGUAACUGUGCACAUCUUGACGGUACCUAAUCAGAAAGCCACGGCUAACUACGUG
rnacentral:rRNA from 1 species